rnacentral:rRNA from 1 species
CGGACGGGUGAGUAAUGUCUGGGAAACUGCCUGGUGGAGGGGGAUAACUACUGGAAACGGUAGCUAAUACCGCAUAACGUCGCAAGACCAAAGAGGGGGACCUUCGGGCCUCUUGCCAUCGGAUGUGCCCAGAUGGGAUUAGCUAGUAGGUGGGGUAAAGGCUCACCUAGGCGACGAUCCCUAGCUGGUCUGAGAGGAUGACCAGCCACACUGGAACUGAGACACGGUCCAG